UACGAAGGGGGCUAGCGUUGCUCGGAAUUACUUGGCGUAAAGCGCACGUAGGCGGCUUUCUAAGUCGGGGGUGAAAUCCUGGAGCUCAACUCCAGAACUGCCUUCGAUACUGGAAAGCUCGAGUCCGGGAGAGGUGAGUGGAACUGCGAGUGUAGAGGUGAAAUUCGUAGAUAUUCGCAAGAACACCAGUGGCGAAGGCGGCUCACUGGCCCGGUACUGACGCUGAGGUGCGAAAGCGUGGGGAGCAAACAGG
rnacentral:rRNA from 1 species